GCUUACGACCAUAUCACGUUGAGAACACCGGUUCUCGUCCGAUCACCGAAGUUAAGCAACGUCGAGCUGAGUCAGUACUUGGGAGGGAGACCACUUGGGAACACUCAGUGUCGUAAGCU
rnacentral:rRNA from 1 species